GUCCGCCUGUCCAGUACUUCUAUCGACUGAGACAUGUUUUGCACCUGCAAGAGAGAGAGAGCGAGAGACAUCGAUUGGUUGGAAGGAUAGGCACAAUCUGAAAUGGCCCCAGUGUGAUUCAAUGACAAUAAGAAGAUGCAGAGUCAUGGCUUACUAUAACUGCAAGGACAAAUUAUAGAAGAACAAAAUAAGCUAUCUUUGAAUAAACAGCCUCAUCGUGUUCUUCUGGAGUGACUACUCUUUUUUGGAA